rnacentral:rRNA from 1 species
UACGGAGGGUGCAAGCGUUAAUCGGAAUUACUGGGCGUAAAGCGUGCGCAGGCGGUUUGGUAAGUCCGCUGUGAAAUCCCCGAGCUCAACUUGGGAAUUGCAGUGGAUACUGGCAAGCUGGAGUAUGGUAGAGGAAGGUGGAAUUCCCGGUGUAGCAGUGAAAUGCGUAGAGAUCGGGAGGAACACCAGUGGCGAAGGCGGCCUUCUGGACCAAUACUGACGCUCAUGCACGAAAGCUAGGGGAGCAAACAGG